rnacentral:tRNA from 1 species
UCCCUAGUGGUCCAGUGGCUGAGACUCUGCGCUCCCAAUGCAGGGACCACAGGUUCGAUCCCUGGUGAGGGAA